AGAACCCCGGCGAGGGGAGUGAAAAAGAACCUGAAACCGUGUACGUACAAGCAGUGGGAGCACAGGUUUACCUGUGUGACUGCGUACCUUUUGUAUAAUGGGUCAGCGACUUAUAUUCUGUAGCAAGGUUAACCGCAUAGGGGAGCCGCAGGGAAACCGAGUCUUAACCGGGCGUUAAGUUGCAGGGUAUAGACCCGAAACCCGGUGAUCUAGCCAUGGGCAGGUUGAAGGUUGGGUAACACUAACUGGAGGACCGAACCGACUAAUGUUGAAAAAUUAGCGGAUGACCUGUGGCUGGGGGUGAAAGGCCAAUCAAACCGGGAGAUAGCUGGUUCUCCCCGAAAGCUAUUUAGGUAGCGCCUCGUGAAUUCAUCUCCGGGGGUAGAGCACUGUUUCGGCUAGGGGGUCAUCCCGACUUACCAACCCGAUGCAAACUGCGAAUACCGGAGAAUGUUAUCACGGGAGACACACGGCGGGUGCUAACGUCCGUCGUGAAGAGGGAAACAACCCAGACCGCCAGCUAAGGUCCCAAAGUCAUGGUUAAGUGGGAAACGAUGUGGGAAGGCCCAGACAGCCAGGAUGUUGGCUUAGAAGCAGCCAUCAUUUAAAGAAAGCGUAAUAGCUCACUGGUCGAGUCGGCCUGCGCGGAAGAUGUAACGGGGCUAAACCAUGCACCGAAGCUGCGGCAGCGAACGUAUCACCCAAGACAACUUUGCGGAGUUGACGAUUGACGGAGCGAAGCGACGUCAAAGCGUUCAUUAAAGUCGAGUUGGCUUAGGGAUACGUUCGUUGGGUAGGGGAGCGUUCUGUAAGCCUGUGAAGGUGGCCUGUGAGGGUUGCUGGAGGUAUCAGAAGUGCGAAUGCUGACAUAAGUAACGAUAAAGCGGGUGAAAAGCCCGCUCGCCGGAAGACCAAGGGUUCCUGUCCAACGUUAAUCGGGGCAGGGUGAGUCGACCCCUAAGGCGAGGCCGAAAGGCGUAGUCGAUGGGAAACGGGUUAAUAUUCCCGUACUUGGUGUUACUGCGAAGGGGGGACGGAGAAGGCUAUGUUGGCCGGGCGACGGUUGUCCCGGUUUAAGCGUGUAGGUGUGUGUUCCAGGUAAAUCCGGUUCACUUUAACACUGAGGCGUGACGACGAGGCACUACGGUGCUGAAGCAACAAAUGCCCUGCUUCCAGGAAAAGCCUCUAAGCAUCAGGUAACAUCAAAUCGUACCCCAAACCGACACAGGUGGUCAGGUAGAGAAUACCAAGGCGCUUGAGAGAACUCGGGUGAAGGAACUAGGCAAAAUGGUGCCGUAACUUCGGGAGAAGGCACGCUGACAUGUAGGUGAAGUGAUUUACUCAUGGAGCUGAAGUCAGUCGAAGAUACCAGCUGGCUGCAACUGUUUAUUAAAAACACAGCACUGUGCAAACACGAAAGUGGACGUAUACGGUGUGACGCCUGCCCGGUGCCGGAAGGUUAAUUGAUGGGGUCAGCGCAAGCGAAGCUCCUGAUCGAAGCCCCGGUAAACGGCGGCCGUAACUAUAACGGUCCUAAGGUAGCGAAAUUCCUUGUCGGGUAAGUUCCGACCUGCACGAAUGGCGUAAUGAUGGCCAGGCUGUCUCCACCCGAGACUCAGUGAAAUUGAACUCGCUGUGAAGAUGCAGUGUACCCGCGGCAAGACGGAAAGACCCCGUGAACCUUUACUAUAGCUUGACACUGAACAUUGAGCCUUGAUGUGUAGGAUAGGUGGGAGGCUUUGAAGCGUGGACGCCAGUCUGC
rnacentral:rRNA from 1 species